AGAGUUUGAUUCUGGCUCAGGACGAACGCUGGCGGCGCGCCUAACACAUGCAAGUCGAACGAGCGAGAGAGAGCUUGCUUUCUCGAGCGAGUGGCGAACGGGUGAGUAACGCGUGAGGAACCUGCCUCAAAGAGGGGGACAACAGUUGGAAACGACUGCUAAUACCGCAUAAGCCCACGACCCGGCAUCGGGUUGAGGGAAAAGGAGCAAUCCGCUUUGAGAUGGCCUCGCGUCCGAUUAGCUAGUUGGUGAGGUAACGGCCCACCAAGGCAACGAUCGGUAGCCGGACUGAGAGGUUGAACGGCCACAUUGGGACUGAGACACGGCCCAG
rnacentral:rRNA from 1 species